rfam:Cavia porcellus supercont2_9 genomic scaffold, whole genome shotgun sequence.
UGGCACCCAGCGUGGGGGCUCUUGGCACGGAGGAGUCAACGAGGGAGCCGUUCGAGAAUGCCAGCUAAAAGUGGAAGCAAAUUGAAUCAAGGACCAAGGCUAAAAGUGAAAGCACAUUAAAUCAAGGACUGAGGCCUGCGUGGUCGACCACCUGGCGUGCCGCCCGAGUCACGGUGAGUGAAUGGCAACCCCAUUCCAUUUCCCGGACAUGGGUCAAGCAUUGAGUGAACAUAAAUUGUUUGUGGGAGGCCUUAGCAAGGCAUUAAAGACAAGAGGAGUAAGGGUUAGAAUAAAAGAAUUGUUGCAGUAUUUUCAGUUUAUCCAUAAGGUUUGCCCUU